UACGGGAGGCAGCAGUGGGGAAUAUUGCACAAUGGGCGCAAGCCUGAUGCAGCCAUGCCGCGUGUAUGAAAAAGGCCUUCGGGUUGUAAAGUACUUUCAGUCGUGAGGAAGGUGUUAAGGUUAAUAACCUUAGCAAUUGACGUUAGCGACAGAAGAAGCACCGGCUAACUCCGUGCCAGCAGCCGCGGUAAUACGGAGGGUGCGAGCGUUAAUCGGAAUUACUGGGCUAAAGGGCACGCAGGCGGUUAAUUAAGUUGGAUGUGAAAUCCCCGGGCUUAACCUGGGAAUGGCAUUCAAGACUGGUUAGCUAGAGUCUUGUAGAGGGGGUAGAAUUCCAUGUGUAGCGGUGAAAUGCGUAGAGAUGUGGAGGAAUACCGGUGGCGAAGGCGGCCCCUGGACAAAGACUGACGCUCGAUGUGCGAAAGCUGGGGAGCAAACAGGGAUUAGAUACCCG
rnacentral:rRNA from 1 species